AGUAAUUCACAGAUGGUACUAUUGGUUCAUAGAAUUUGCACAUCUUCCAGGUUCUCCCUAAUGAUGACAUAAUGGAAACAUAAUUUCCAAAGCCAGUGGACACUCCUCCCAGCAGCAUGUGCUCAGGAAAUCUGAAUAACCAGAGGUGAAAGUGAAAGCAUUUAAACCAUGUAAGGAAGCUUUCUAGAGGAAACACAAUCGUCACGGACUACGGAGCUUCUGUGUGAAGAACCAUUGGAUUGAUAUCUAGACACAUGAGUUCCAAAAGAUGCUGGAAAGUGGAAACUAUAUACUUUCAAACUUCACUUCUGUACAGCUGUGACCUUCUACUCCUCCAAGAUAAUACUUACGUGUCUGCCUAUAAUGCUUUGGUUCCUGGCACUUAACCAUGAUAUCAUGCCUUCAUGCUCUGUCCUAGACGAAGAUAUUCCUGACAGAGAAGGAAGGCCAGAUAAGGGGCAGAUAAUAAAGAGGAAAUUCUGCCUAAAUGUAAGGGAAUUUUUGAAGACUAUCUACAUAACACAGAUAAGAAGUGUUUGGGCCUAAACACUCAGACUUACAAGCAGUUUUGAGCAAGAUUCUCCACCGGAACAUACUGAAAGCUGUCACUAACCAAACAUAAAGGAGAAAGAAAUAAAGACCCUGUUUACAAUGCUUUGUAAUAAUAGAGAACUGGAUUAAAGACUGACAUAAAGACCUA